rnacentral:rRNA from 1 species
UACGGAGGGUGCGAGCGUUGUCCGGAAUCAUUGGGCGUAAAGGGCGCGUAGGUGGCCCGGUGAGUCUUUGGUGAAAGCGCGGGGCUCAACCCUGCGUCGGCCAGGGAUACUGCCGCGGCUCGAGCACUGUAGAGGCAGGCGGAAUUCCGGGUGUAGCGGUGGAAUGCGUAGAGAUCGGGAGGAAGGCCGGUGGCGAAGGCGGCGCUCUGGCCUAUAACUGACGCUGAGGCGCGAAAGCGUGGGGAGCAAACAGG